GAUUGCCUAAAUACACUUAUGUAUUGUUUAUUUUCAUUGAAUAUUUUUUUUAUUUUUAUUGAAUACAAUAAAAUUUUUUGGAGUUUAUUGAGCUCAUGAAUAUUAGUGCUAGUAUUUUAAAGAGCAAAGAAAAUAAAUGUAAUAUAAAACAUUACUUUGAAAGAAAAGGUACAUAGUUGCUUUAAUUAUUUAGUAAUAUAAAUAUUUUUUAAAUGAUGAAAACUCUGAGGUAGUGAGUAAUAAUAAGGAGGAAUUAAAUAACAUGAAAAUCACUUAAAAGGUAUUAUAUUUUUACUUACCAUUAUUUUUUUAAAAUAUUUUGUCUCAAAAUUACUCAACACAAUUAAUGGAAAAGAGGAUGAGAAUUGUGAAGCCCAAAAAUAUUUAAUAUUAUAAGUCUUUUUUAGAUGAAAGAGUUUUUAAGAGGAUUAAGUUAUCAAAUGAUGAAACGAAGAUGAUAGAGCUUGGUAGCCACCGAGGAAAUAUUGUUAUGCCUUCUAAUCCUAAUGUACCAGUUGUAAUUGACAUAAUGAGCUAGUUUAUUGAGAAAGAUAUAACAGUAGAGACAAUAAUUUCCAAGAAAAGAUACAAAUUUUUUUCUUCCCAACAGAAAUUAAAAAUUUAUCAUUUGAACGCUUUUUUAUAACGAUCAGGAAACGAUAUCCAAAAUAUAAUAAUGGUGUGAUGGGAGAAAAUUUUUCCACCGAGUGGAUUAUUAGUGAUGGAAAUUGCCUCUUCAGAUAUAUAAGCAAAGAAUUUUGUAAUAACGAAUGCCACUAUGAUUUUCUGAGACAGUAAUGCAUUUUCGAGGAGCACAGAUAUGCUUGAGCAGAUGGAAUGGUUUCUGGGAGAACGGGUUGACAUAUAUUUGGAGAGAACAGGGAUGGUCGAAAACUUACGGAACAGAGGCGGAGAUAGUUUCAAUGAUAACUAUAAUUCUGAAAAAUAUAAUUAUUCACACUAUUUAUAAAUAAUAUUGUACGCCAAUUAAAAAAUUAAAUAACAUCAAAAAAAUUAAUUUGAAUAUAUAUAUAAGAAAUUAACGCGAUCAUUUUGACCGCAUUAUAAAUUUUAAUUAAUCAU